rnacentral:rRNA from 1 species
GCAGUGGGGAAUAUUGCACAAUGGGGGAAACCCUGAUGCAGCGACGCCGCGUGAGUGAAGAAGUAUUUCGGUAUGUAAAGCUCUAUCAGCAGGGAAGAUAAUGACGGUACCUGACUAAGAAGCCCCGGCUAACUACGUGCCAGCAGCCGCGGUAAUACGUAGGGGGCAAGCGUUAUCCGGAUUUACUGGGUGUAAAGGGAGCGUAGGUGGCAGGGCAAGUCAGAUGUGAAAACCCGGGGCUCAACUCCGGGAGUGCAUUUGAAACUGUCCAGCUAGAGUGCAGGAGAGGUAAGCGGAAUUCCUAGUGUAGCGGUGAAAUGCAUAGAUAUUAGGAGGAACACCAGUGGCGAAGGCGGCUUACUGGACUGUAACUGACACUGAGGCUCGAAAGCGUGGGGAGCAAACAGGAUUAGAUACCCUGGUAGUCCACGCCGUAAACGAAGAAUACUAGGUGUCGGGGCCCACAGGGCUUCG